CGUUGAUGCUGGAGUGGAGAAGGGAAUGUCCCUGCCGUGGGUAUUUGGCUCAUGGUGAAUCCCAGGAGACUGGUGAUGACUAAGUCCUCUCAGACAGGAGAGGACUUAGCAUUGAUAUCCCUGAGUGGCACUGGAGCAGAUAAAGCACCAUCACGUUGAACUGGAUGUAUACAGCCAGCACAGGAGACAGCUGCUGGAGAUGCCCAGAUAUAACUGCAGGGAAACUUACAGCUGGGUGUGAGACCUGAAUAGGCAGAAAAUGCAAGUGCAGGGAAGAGACAGGUUAUAUAAUGACACUGAAGCACCAAGAAGUGAAGUUACUAGAUGAACAUUAUACAUAUGUAGAGACGGGGUUUCACUGUGUUUCCCAGGCUGGUCUCGAACUCCUGAGCUCAGGCAAUCCACCUUCCUCGGCCUUCCAAAGCACUGGGAUUACAGGCAUAAGCCACCAUGCCCAACUUCUGCAUAUUCUUAUAUACAGUGCAGUCAUCUGGAAGAUGCAAGCUGGUCUUUGUAUUAGCAAAGCUGGGCUGGUGGUCUUCAACACUUGCUUCAUCGGGGGAGAUCUACCUUGCCAACCCAGCUGGAAGAAUGAUAGCAAUUGCAGCAGGAAUCCUAUGGAUUCUCUCUGUAUUUACUGAAAGUUCAGCAAUUCUUCCUGAAUCUGUAAAAUUCAACAAAAAUUCUACAGAUUUUCAACGUAUUUACCCAAAGUUCAGCAAAUUAAUUGAGAUGUGUUUCUGAAUAAAAUAAAAUUUUUUGCCACUAGUGGAUUUCCUGAACCCUGAACUGUUUGUUACAAAAAAUAUAUUGUCCAGGUUUAUCAUUGUAUUUUCUGACCUUCUCACAUUACCAUUACUGAAAGUUCUGCCUGUCGUAUUUAUAUUUAAACUCACUUCUACUUUGGUUGGAUCAGGCACUGUCAGAGUAGCGAAUAACUUGCUUUAUAACAUGUUCUAUAAAAGAUUGGUCAUAAUUUAUCUAAUUAAAUAUUGCCGGCCAGCAAAACUGUUAUCUUUUUCAUAGUCAUGACCUUAGAUAAUUCGUUUUCAUAUUACCAGCAUCUGUCAUGAGGUAGAUGCCAGACAAAAGGCCACUGACCUGAAUCUAAUGGAAAUGGAGAAAGGAUGUUUAUCAUCUACUGCAUGAUAAAAUCUUUGCAUUAUGAAAUCAGGUCCAAAAAAAUAAACAAGUAAAUACACAGCCAAGCUCCCUCUAAACCAGUGAGCAAAAGAAUGUUAUCUUAGGAAAAAAAAUUGCAUAUGUCUGUGUGUGUGUGUGUGUGUGUGUAUAUAGAAUAUAUAUAUAUAUAUAUUAAUUCUGCUCAUCUAAUUGAUUGGCUUUAUCUGAAUUUAUGUAGUCUUUCAAUAUCCUGCAUAUUUUUUUUGUCUCAACUCUCCUGCCCCAUCAUUUAAACUAUCUUUUCAAUGUAUAUAUGCAGAUUUAGUAAGUAAAUUCCUUUUAGGAAAAAUGGAAGAUGAAGAUAAAUUAUACCAAAAAAAAAAAUCCAAAACGAUUACACAAAGAGGGUUUCAAAAAUGUAAGGAAAAGGUUGAUAAUUGUGCUAAAAUUUCUGAGUGCAAGUAGUAAAGUGGACUGAAGAAAUAGAUAUCAUCACUGCUAGAGAGAAGAAGAAUCUGUGCCUACAGCCAAACCUGGAAGGCAUCCCAUUUGAGGCCUUUGUGGCAGAGCAUCCACUUCAGCUGUGGCACACACAAUUCUCAAUUUGGAUGUUGUUGCCAUUAAACCCACAGUGAAGCUUGGCCUGUAUUUUUAAUUGACCUCAACACUGUCAAUCCUCCAGGCCUAGGUUUGGAAGCAAAACUCAGAUGAGUCUCUGUCAUAUUAAGUGAAAAAUGAACUCAGGAAUCUCCUCAUACAUUUGAUUCCCUCUAAUUUGAGAAAUAGAUGAAAUCUCAGUGUAUAUGUGAAUUGGAAUUAUUAAUGUAUGUCAAAAAUUUGUCUAGCAGUGAUAUUGUCAGAGGAAAGGAGGUUUAUAUUUGUUGAAAUUAAAUAACAAAAUAGGUAUUGAAAUUUUUUUCUAAUUUGCCAAAUCUUGUUUGGUCUUUAAAGAUGGGUUUAUUUUUCAAGGUGAAGAGCUUGAAGUGGCAAACUUUGGUAUAUAUUAGUUGCAAUCCCAUUAAAAGAGAAGCAAAACCAUUUCUGUUGGGGAAAAAGUAUUCCUUGAAAUCUUCAAGAAGAUUGCCUGGCAUUCAUGGUUCCAUAGCACAUGGCAAUCUUAGCAAUGACUAAUUUCUGGGUUUGAUUGUCUUAUGGGCUGAAGCCUAAUAGACAAGGCCUGAACAGAAUUUGAACCAAGUAUCGAUGCUUACAACAUUAUCUAAGUGACUUGUAAUUGAGCUAUAACUGUGAUUUAGGAAAAUGCUUUUAUUUUUCUCUUAUAGUCCAUAAAAAGGAUAAAUAAAUGUUUACAAUUUCUUAUGUAAUCGGAGCCCUUCUCUCCUUUGUUAAAUUUUUUAUGAAAGUUUAAUGUCAAAAUUACAGCUAAUAAUCUCUCAAUUUCUAAAAAGUCAAUGUAGACCUAUCAUUUUUUUAAAGACAGCUGCCACUUUUAGUACAAUGCUGUUGUUGGAUAUGUUUAAAUAAUUGUAUUUUACUGAGUAAUGCUAGUAUAUAAUUUCUAAUCAGUAUCAAUUUAAAAAAUAUAGAUUACAGUAAUUUUAUGGAGCUAGAAAGAAAUAGAAAUGAAUGCAGUGAUAUGACUUUGUUCUGUGCUGUCUGCUUUCGAAAUAGAUCCAUAAAUUCUAAGGGCGAUUAUGAGAAAGAGUGGGAUCUUAAUACAGGCAAACAUGGUUGAAACUGAAAAUCUGAAAAAUACCUCCCCUGGAUUUAUGAGAGUUUUUAUAUCAUAGAUAAUUAAAAGUUAUAUAUAUAAAAUUCACUAUUACUAUUAAUACUAUUUUUAACAAAAAAAGUAUGUAAUCCAACUUUGAAUUUGUGAAAUAAAAAUAUGUAAGUCAUAA